AUAAACCCCUCCCGAUACGGCAAGUUCCAUUCCCUCACGACCAACGGCGCAGACACUCACUCACUGCUGCGAGUGACUUUUGCUAAUCUUACCAGGAGCCAUCUCGCAUUCCACUCAGCCAACCAUCCCGCCUUCGUAGAUAUUGCAAGCACAAAACUAAAAGACUGCCAACAGAUAAGGAUGUCAACGUCAAGAACAGAGACAACAGUAGCAGCAUCAUCGCCGUCAUCAUCAUAUUCUGCACUAGCCCGGGCUAAGAACCUUGCCGGUGCCGAUUUGGGAAAGCGAUUACGAAAAGUAACGACCACACGACUGUCCGAAUGUUUCCGACGGCACUGCAAACCCUGCGAUCGAUAAGAACAUCAUCCCGGGACGGUAUUGGCUCUUAAAAACUAGAACGUAGUAUGCUGGUGACUGUAGUGUAGAGUUAUCUUAUCGUUCGAGCGACAGCAGAAAGACAUUCCGGUUGACCGAUUCGAUUGAUUCGCACUUACCGAUAAAGGUUGAAGUUGCAUUUUCAUUGGGAAUCCCUGUCCCGGAGGAGAACGGGCAAAGGAUAUUGACUGAGCCUAAGGACUGAGACCUGGCACCUGGCAGGUAUUGGGAUAAUUGCACCGGAAAAACGUUCCCCGAAAAUCUCCGGUCGCCAUGGUUUGCCGCUCGACAGCUGUCGGAUGAGGAUCGAAAGCUGCUGAUGCUGGAGCGUGGAGAAGAGCGUGCUGAACCGUAAAAGCGUCAUCCAGCCGCGGGGUAAAUCUUUUCCCAUAAACCUGACUACCCGCGUGGGCCGUGGCUGGGCCGGGCCAGGCAGCCUCUCUGUUGUUAAAUCCUUCCUCCCACCGUGCUGUUACGCCAGCAGCUCAGAAAGCAUAAGGAAAGUGAUAAAAAUGGAAAAUGGGAAAGAUUGUGCUGCGACCCUUGGCCUCUCUGUGGCUGUAGAACCCGCUGC